CUGGAUUUACAGUUACACAUCUUCAGGGCACAAGGAAUGAAAGUGGCAUCAGUGAUAGAGAAAAAGAAAGAGCAUUUAAGCUUCACCAUUCGAAGAAGCAUUAUAUUUUCCAAGCAGCUUCCAAAGAUGAAAGUUUAAGAUGGGUGGCCGCAUUAAAAAAAGCAUCCCAGGCUGAGUUGCCAUCUCCAGUUCAAUGACGAGAGCGGCAGGUGAUCGAGGCCCUCAUUACAUGUCUGUGAGAACAACAUACACUAACCAUUUGGACACACUUUAAUACAUAUAAAAACACAUUCCUUCACACCAUUCAUAGUGUUUAUACAUGAAAAUAGAUGGCUUGGAGAGUAAUGAUGAUGUGUUUAUUCAUUACUGUAAAUUUUGAACUAAACUUUUAUUGUUUUUUAGCAUAUUUAUAUUCAAGAAUUUUAUUUAAAAGUACAGUUUUAAUGUUUCUAAUGAGUGAUAUUCAACUUGUAAUUUUAAUUGAAUUGUAAUUUUCACAGUUCUCAUUAAAGUAACUACCGUACAUUUUGGAUUUUAAUGGCUUUAGUUUGGUAAAAACCAACAUUAUUGAAAUAAAUAUACGUAUAGAGCAAAUGUUUUUGAUACUUUUAACAGAAAAUCAAGAUAUGGCAACAAAGUAAUUUUAUAGUUGAAUGAAUAAAUUUGAAAUAUUAAUUCAUCUGAAGCUGAGAAAGUUUUACUAUGUGAUACAUUUUAAAAGAUUUUCCAGUACCAUUACUCCUGUUUACGUGGACUCUUGUUUACUCGUGGAAAGAAUGGUUUUCAUCAUUAUUGCUCAAAGCUAAUGAUAAUGACAUAUAUCUACCGUACACUUUUCAAAAUAUCCAAAUAACAUGACACCUGCAUUGUGACGUCCACAAUUAGGAACUAAGACCAGAAGUAUAGCAUUAUCAUUUUUAUGACAGUGCUACCAGAUAAAUUAUUACAGUUUAUCACAUCAAUAGCAAACUGUUGUCUCCUCUAGAUUUUCUGUGGCAAAGGAGAAUACUGUUGAAUCAUUUUAAGCUUGGGCAUGUAUUGCAAAUAUGCCUUGUACAUUUCAAAAGUUUACAGUUUUUUUCAUUUUAAUACGUAUGAGUAUACAGAUGAAAAGAUGAGUAUUAUUUUUUAAAAAUCAAGUAUACUAAAGAGUACAAGUAAUCACUCAAUUACAUGAAGUCGGAAUAUGUAGCCUGAAUUAAAAUGAUUGGCAGUAUCUUUUGGGAUUUUGCCCUCUGUUUCUCUAUAACUGUAAACUUGGAUAAUACUGUACUGCAUUGGUAAAAUGUAUGGAAUUAUCAAUUAUCAGGUAGUGUUAAAAUCUUGAGUGUAGAUUAGGAAUACAUAUGUGUACAAUAUAUCUAGAUUAGCACUGAAGUGUUUGGUAUUGGACUUCUAAAUUGAAACUUCAUGAAGUUUUCAUUGAGCUGUUGCAUCUCCACAUAAAACUUUAUUUAAUCUAAUAAGAAAUGGAUGACAUUUAUUGAAGCAAUCAGUAAUGUAUCAUUGACACAGGCAAAAGAAGGUUCUGAAAUUUGAUGGAGUUUUGAUUUACUGUGUUUGGAAGUACAUCUGUGAUGGAUGAGCAAUAUAGGAACUUCUAGAAACCAAGUUUUCUUCUUCUUGGCUUGUUGUCAUUAACAUGUGCACCUGCCUCUCUUCUUCUUUGCUUGUUGUUUUUCUUUUACGCUUCACAUCAUUUGUUGAUCGUUAGAGGAACACAAAAGAAAAAAGGCUCGUUAAAUAAGCAUAUCAUUUUGGUAAUACAAUGCUUGUACGAUUGUUUUUAGCUGAGCUUACUUUCAUUCCUGGGAUUUGAUUAAUUUAACAAGUUUUCCAACGGAUUUCCAAGUCACUACAAAAUUGAGCAAUACUGUAGAAAGUUUCAGUUGCCAACAAAGCAUUACACAUUUAGCAGGUUUGGU